CCUCCCCAGCCCCCCGGCUUGGGGGUCUCCAGGGCUGCCGGUGGAGCCGGGCGAGGGGGCCCCGAGCCCCCGGGGGGGGUCUCCUCCCCCUGGGCUGGUGCCUGCCCCGGUGCCCCCGCGCGGCCCCAGCCCCCCCAGCCCGCUGCAGGAUCCGGCCCUCCCCAGCCUGGCAGCCCAGGAGCCGCAGCAAGGUGGGUGCCCGCAGCCCCCUGCCCGCUGCGUGGGGCUGGGGUGGGGGUCCUGCACGCUGCGCCCCCCAGCCCCAGCACCUGGGCUGGUGGGGGGGGGGCUCAGCCGUGCCCACAUCCCCCCAGGGACCAUCAGGGAACCCGAGCAGGAGCCAGCCCGGAGCGACUCGGGGCACAACGGCAUCGGGGACCUCGGGCACGGGGGGUGGCCAGCCCCCUGGGAGCAGGACCCCCCGGUGCAGGGGGAUGAGCCCAGUGACACCAUCCUGCCGGAGCCGCUGCACAAAGCCAAGCCAGGUACCGCUGCGCCCCCCCCGGCCCCCCCAUGUGUCCCGAGCCCCCUGGCCGGGCUCAGCCCUCACCCCCUCUUCCCCCCCAGGCUUCGCCCUGCUGCUGGCCCGCGAUGCCCCCCACCAGCAGCUGCCUGCCGGCAGCACCCCCCCAGCCGAGGACGAGGACCUCUCCCCCCAUGCUGUGUAGUGGGGGGGACAGCAGCACGCCGCCCCCCCCAGCACCACCUACUGUGCCC
rnacentral:lncRNA from 1 species